GAGGCCACGGCAACACAGUCGUUUCCCAGAAGCCUUACCUGCUACACCAGCAAGACCACUCGCAGACGUCGACGAGAAAUCUCUUCUUUACCCUGAAGUUCCCUGCGACGUUGUAGAUGACCCGAGGCCGCCGAGAAGGUCCCUCACACCAUCUGAGAUUGGACGAAAACCUGACCACUUCGAGAGGCAGUCGAUUGGCCAAUUGCGGUAACAAGCUCGAGCUCCAAGUCCUUUCGCAGAGAUAUAACGUACCUUGAGAGCGUGAAAAGCAAUCGCUAGCGGAACUCUACGGAUACUCAACGCCCUCAGUCGUUUGUUCAGAUCGAGAGAAUCGACGGGAGUGAAAUCCUGUAAAGAGGAGGAGACAAAGCAUUGCGAAAAACUCCAUAUUUUCUCAUUUGACGAUCGCAAAAACCGUUUGAAAACAGAUAAACAAAGACUGACGUUAUUUUUGGAGUGAUUUCCAUAAAGUUUGUUUGCAAGUCUCUUUAGUAAUAAAACAUCUUGUGACUUCUGUUGCACUCGCAAUAUACUUGAACUUGCAUAGCAUUUACCUGAGUGAGCCAGAAGGUCACCGGAAGAAGAAGAAACAAGAAGUCAAGAUGGUCCAAGAACACACUUACUCCGCCAACACCUACGUUGAUGACGCCCAGGCCAGGCGUUCGACCUACAAGGCCAUGCAGAUGGGCGCUUACAACAACCCCCAGGGCAACACGGCCUCGACAAGGACCAAGGCCAAGAGGGCCAAUCCUCAGGUCGAUGUGUGGGGUCCUGUGUUCAAGAACAAGGAGCAUUUCGUGAACAUGCAUCUGUGUUAAAGAUUGUUCACGGAGGAGGAGAAGGAGGCAGAGGAAGAAGGAGGAGGAGGGAGGAAAAAUAAUAAAAGGAAUAUGGAAUAGGAUGAUGAUGAUGAGGGGGAAAACUCGGAAGAGGAGGAAGAAGUUGGAGUAAGAGGAGAAGAGAAGGAGAAGUGGGAUGUUUAGAUAUUUUGUACGCCAUGUGUGCCUUA